rnacentral:SRP_RNA from 1 species
GCACAAGAGGUGAAAUGGCAUGUACACCUGCAGUCCCAGCUACUCAGGGGGCUGAGGCAGGAGAAUGGCUCGAGCCCAGGGGUUCUGGGCUGUAAUGCACUAUGCUGGUCCACACUAAGUUUAGCAUUAAUAAUGUGAUCUUCUGAGAACAGGGACUACCAGAUUGCCUAAGGCAGGGUAAACUGGCUCAGGUAGGAAACAAGCAGGUCAGGACUCCUGUACUGCUCAGUAGUGGGACGGUGCUGUGAAUAGCUACUGCUCUCCAGCCUGUGCAGCAUAGCCAGAUUUUUUUUUU